AUAAAGUUUUAUUCUUGCUUUAUGUUAAAUUUUUAUAUUUUGUAAAUAUGUUAUUAUAUUGAUUGAUUAUGGUAUUAUUUAAAUUUGAUAAAGUUUAAAAUAUGUAUCAGAAAUAUAAUAAAGAGUAGUAAAAAUUGUGCCAGCAACUGCGGUUACACAAUUGUUCUUAUUUAAUAUAUUUAUAAAUUUUAAUUUUUUGAAUUAAAGAGAUAAAAUUAUUUUUAAAGUGAAAUUUAAAAUAAUUUGUUUAUAAUUAAAUAUGGUUUUAAAAAAAUUAAUAAAAUAAACUAGGAUUAGAUACCCUAUUAUAAUUAAUGUAAUUUAAAUUUAGAGUAGUAUAUGAUAUGACCAGGAAACUUAAAGAAUUUGGCGGUGUUUAUUCAAAAUAGAGGAACAUGUUUUUAAUCGAUAUUCCACGAAAAUCUUUCUUAAAUUAUUAAUUUUGUAUAUUUCCGUCUUAAAAAAAUUUUUAUAAAAAUAUUUUUAUUUUCUUUAUUGAAAAAAGUCAGGUCACAAUGCAGAUUAUAUUUAAGAUAAAAUGUGUUACAAUAAAAUUAUUUGCAGAAAAUUAAUGAAAAUAAAUUUAAAGAUGGAUUUAUUAGUAAAGUAUUUUGUAUAAAAAAUAUUUGAAAAAGGAAAAUAAAUAUGCACAUAUUGCCCGUCAUUCUCUUUGAAAAAGAGACAAGUCGUAACAAAGUAGAUUUACUGGAAAGUGAAUCUGGUAUCAG
rnacentral:ncRNA from 1 species